UCUUUUCUUAAAAUUCCAGGAACGUUCAUGUGUUGGUCAUUGUAAUCCUGCUUUGCUCAUCUAGUGGUGUGAGUAUAUGACAUCAUUUUAGGGAUUUAAUGGGGUUUGGAAAACAAAGAAUAAGUACCAUUAGAAGUAGAACGCAGAAGAGAAAAUUAAUCUUAACUGUGAAUAUGAGAUGAUUUGGGAUGCAGAAGGAUCAAUGCAUCUUGUAGUAGGUAUCAAUUCUGUAUGUUAAUGUGUUAAAAAUAAUGUUGGUAGGUAUCAGUUCUGUGUGUGAAUGUGUUGAAAACAGUGUUUGUAGGUGAA
rnacentral:lncRNA from 1 species